GAGUUGAGGCUCAGUGGUAGAGCACUUGCCUAGCACGUGUGGGCACUGGGUUCGAGUCUCAGCACCACA
rnacentral:tRNA from 1 species